GGGGCCGUAGCUCACUAGUAGAGUAUUUGCCUAGCAUGUGCAAAGUCCUGGGUUCAAUUCCCAGCCCCG
rnacentral:tRNA from 1 species